AGCUCCAAUAGCGUAUAUUAAAAUUGUUGCGGUUAGAACGCUCGUAGUCGAAUAUUUGUUCAGGUCGAACGGUCCUCCCUAGUGGUGUGCACUCGGUAUGACCUGGGCACUUCUCUGGUACAAGCGUUUGCAGUUAAUUCUGUGGCGCGUUGUCCAGAACUUUUACUUUGAGGAAAUGAGGGUGCUUCAAGCAGGUGUAUGUUAUGAAUACGUUAGCAUGGAAUAAUCGCAUGGGACCUCGUCCUGAAGCUGUUGGUUUUUGGGGCGAGGUAAUGAAGAUGGGGAUAGUUGGGGGCAUUCGUAUUUAACUGUUAGAGGUGAAAUUCUUGGAUUUUUUAAAGAUGGACUACUGCGAAAGCAUCUGCCAAGGAUGUUUUUG
rnacentral:rRNA from 1 species